CCUUUACCUAGGCUGCAGGAUGUAGGACAGGCUGUGAUUGUUCUCGGAGCUCAGGGACCCGGGCAGCUGGGAACAAAGUGGGAGUCAGACCUAUCAUUUCUCGGACCUUUUACGGGCAAUGAACAGGAAAGGAGACGUGGAAUACUUUUGUUCGGGGAGCCAUUUCUAGAGAAAUCACCAGACAACAGAUUUCCUGAAAAGUACAGAGUCCUCCCUUCUCUGCAGCAAGCGAGUCUAGACUUCAGCUGUUCUGGAGCACAACAGCAGCCAGCGAGUCUACUUGACCUUGCAGGUUAGUGAGUCCAGUAGAGGGACGGUAGAGAAAUGCUGAAGGGAUGGGGAAGUUUA
rnacentral:lncRNA from 1 species